rnacentral:rRNA from 1 species
GUGGGGAAUAUUGCACAAUGGGGGAAACCCUGAUGCAGCGACGCCGCGUGAGCGAAGAAGUAUUUCGGUAUGUAAAGCUCUAUCAGCAGGGAAGAUAAUGACGGUACCUGACUAAGAAGCACCGGCUAAAUACGUGCCAGCAGCCGCGGUAAUACGUAUGGUGCAAGCGUUAUCCGGAUUUACUGGGUGUAAAGGGAGCGCAGGCGGUGCGGCAAGUCUGAUGUGAAAGCCCGGGGCUCAACCCCGGUACUGCAUUGGAAACUGUCGUACUAGAGUGUCGGAGGGGUAAGCGGAAUUCCUAGUGUAGCGGUGAAAUGCGUAGAUAUUAGGAGGAACACCAGUGGCGAAGGCGGCUUACUGGACGAUAACUGACGCUGAGGCUCGAAAGCGUGGGGAGCAAACAGGAUUAGAUACCCGGGUAGUCC